rnacentral:rRNA from 1 species
CCUACGGGCGGCUGCAGUGAGGAAUAUUGGUCAAUGGUCGGAAGACUGAACCAGCCAAGCCGCGUGAGGGAUGAAGGUACAGAGUAUCGUAAACCUCUUUUGUCAGGGAACAAAGCGAGUCACGUGUGCCUCGUUGAGAGUACCCGAAGAAAAAGCAUCGGCUAACUCCGUGCCAGCAGCCGCGGUAAUACGGAGGUGGCAGGCGUUGUCCGGAUUUAUUGGGUUUAAAGGGUGUGUAGGCGGGAUGACAAGUCAGAGGUGAAAUCCGCUGGCUCAACCCCGGAACUGCAUUUGAAACUGUAGGUCUUGAGUGUCGGAGAGGCAGGCGGAAUGCCUAGUGUAGCGGUGAAAUGCAUAGAUAUUACGAAGAACACCAGUGGCGAAGGCAGCCUGCUGGCCGACAACUGACGGUGAGGCGCGAAAGCGUGGAGAGCGAACAGGAUUAGAUACCCCGGUAGUC